UACGGAGGGUGCGAGCGUUAAUCGGAAUUACUGGGCGUAAAGCGUGCGCAGGCGGUUUUGUAAGCCAGAUGUGAAAUCCCCGGGCUUAACCUGGGAAUGGCAUUUGGGACUGCAAGGCUGGAGUUUGGCAGAGGAGACUGGAAUUCCUGGUGUAGCAGUGAAAUGCGUAGAUAUCAGGAGGAAUACCGAUGGCGAAGGCAGGUCUCUGGGCCGAUACUGACGCUGAGGAGCGAAAGCGUGGGGAGCGAACAGG
rnacentral:rRNA from 1 species